UUGAUUGUGAAUCGUUGCCUUCAGUGCUGGCCCCGGCAAGUGCACGUUGGUGACUUUCAUCCAGUCCCCUGUGAACCUUUGGCCUCUGCCAGCCAAAGCCAGCAGAGGAUUUACACAAACUCGAAUGUAAUGAAACUAUUGCUGUGCGCAAGCACGAAUGUA
rnacentral:misc_RNA from 1 species